rfam:Cajanus cajan Scaffold132669_1, whole genome shotgun sequence.
AAUCUGGUGGUGAGGACAGCUUGCACACAACUUGUUGAAUCUCUCCCAGUACUCAUACAAGCUCUCUCCACCAAGUUGCCUGAUCCCUGAUAUAUCUUUUCUAAUUCU